rnacentral:hammerhead_ribozyme from 1 species
GCACUGCUGAGGAGUCCCAUAAUAGAACGAAACGGCCGUUCAGUNN